rnacentral:misc_RNA from 1 species
GAUGAAGAACGUAGCGAAAUGCGAUAAGUAAUGUGAAUUGCAGAAUUCAGUGAAUCAUCGAAUCUUUGAACGCACAUUGCGCCCCCUGGUAUUCCGGGGGACAUGCCUGUUCGAGCGUCAUUUCACCACUCAAGCCUCGCUUGGUAUUGGGCGACGCGGUCCGCCGCGCGCCUCAAAUCGACCGGCUGGGUCUUCUGUCCCCUCAGCGUUGUGGAAACUAUUCGCUAAAGGGUGCCACGGGAGGCCACGCCGAAAAACAAACCCAUUUCUAAGGUUGACCUCGGAUCAGGUAGGGAUACCCGCUGAACUUAAGCAUAUCAAUAAGCGGAGGA